UGUAAAGUUUAUUGACACAGAUUGAUACAGGGUGUCAUUAUACAUACAAUUGAAAAGAGAAGAAAAAAUCACAGCAACAAAGCACACAAAAACAAAACAAUAAAUACCAUAAGCAAAACUACAAAAAAAUCAUUAUUUGAUAAACCGUACAAAAGAGCAAUGAAAUAAAACCAACCCAUAAGACAUAAGUUGCAACAGUAGUUUGCCGUAUCUAUGUGGGAAUAUAAAAGUGCAUAUGGGAUAAUUGGAUAAAUCUGAGAUGUUCUAGAUUGGUGAGUUCCAACUACCAAACACAAAAUUAAUUCACCAAAAAAUCCAACAUGACGUUUUAAAUUUACAAUCACAAAGGUCAAUGCAACGGAUCAACUGCAAACAGAUGGCGGAGGAUAUACCAUAUCCUACCCUCAAUAAAAGGGAAACAACUCUCCAACGCUCAGUGGUACAGUCGGUGCUAUUUUGCUUUCUCAUCGCCAUCACCGAUAGUAAUAUGCGAUCACAAUGCACAGAUACAAAAAUACAUUCUCAAGCUAAUUUUAUGCACAGUAUAUUCAUGUUGAAACUGACAUAAAUACAUGUGUAGACUGCAUGGUAAAAGAAAGCAUACGUCCAUUUUCAGUGGAGCCAGGAAGAAAUGGUUAUCCAAUGGUGAUGUACGUGAUGUACGUGAGGUACUUGAUACAAGUAUGACUGGUCAUGUUAAACCUCCAUACCAAUGUCGAUUUCACAACAGGGCGGUCAAGUAACGUUAUGAUCAAUUUUGUAAUAAUAUUUUGGUCACAUAACCUCAGAGAUGCACAGUUUCUAUUGCGAUUAAGAAAGUACAUUAUUUUAAACAAUGAUAAUACAUACCAUCAACAACAUUCUUGUGAAAACAUACUCACAUGUAUAAUGAUAUUAUUAAAAAGCUGUGAAUAUAUUCUAUCAACAAUAUUUGUGUUAAAACUUACAAACACAUGAUAUGAUUACAUAAUUUAAAAACUUUAAGUAUAAUCUCUAAAAAAAUAUGUAAAUAUAUUGAAAACAAAAGACACCACCACCACUCGACUAUGGCAGUCGACAACAAAAGACUGUUAUGAAACAAAUAUAAAGACAUUAUUAAAACAAAGUCGUAUAUGUUUUGUUAUUAUCAGCUAAUGGUAUUAAGAAACAUUACAAAACGCUCAAUUCACCUUGAUAAGGAUUAUUGAUUGUCAGGAUAAAUGUGUGAGCCAAGUUACGGUAGACUAAUAAACAAUGACAUCCAAAGCAACACUUUGACAAGGUAAUGACUGGAUGCGUAGACAACCAAUAAAAUAGAUAGAAACCAGUUUAUACCUAAAGGCUGAUGGAUUGGGUUAGCUAGCGAGAAACAGACACAGAUGCCUGGACAAUCAAGUAACUGAGAAACGUCUGAAAACACCAAAACAUCAGUUCCUUUGACUGAAACUAAAUUUCCCAACAAAAUACGACAUGGGUUCAAAUUAUACACACAAACAUUAAGAAAGUUGCCAGGUUAAAUGAGUAACUCUCAGCAGCAAAUAGGUACUUAACCUGAUCUAGACAACCACGGGAAUUUAGAAAAGACGGAAUUCAACAAAAGCUAGCUAACAGUUCAGCUCAGUAAACCAGUCAAAGAAAUUACCUUAAGGCGAAAAUGCCUCCUAAACUAAUUACAGACAGUUUCGAGUGACCAUCCAGAGAUGUGACGCACCCGAGUGGUGUUAGAGGCUCCGAAUCCUCCAAGUCUUUUAAACGAAGGCGCGGACGACAUAGGAGACAACCCAGAUUGGACACCAAGGUAAGGCUGCAACCUGAGGCAAAACUUUCUUUACAAAGAGAAACUCCGAUUCAGUAAGUGAAAAUCCGAAGGGCACAAUAACUACAAAAUCAA